rfam:Oryza sativa (indica cultivar-group) chromosome 8, whole genome shotgun sequence.
UUCAAGCGCAGGCAUGAGUUUCUGUGUCCAACUUUGAUCGUAUGUCUUAUUUAAAAUAUUUUUAUAAUUAUUACUUCUGUUGUUAUUAGGUGAUAAAACAUUAAUAGUACUUUAUAUAUGAAUUAUGUUUUUUAUCUUUUAAAAAGAUUUUAAAUAAAACGGACUAUUAAAGUUGUAUAGGGAAACUUAUCAUUCGUAUUUAAA